AGGAUUAUAGUUUAAAAAUUAAAACCUUUGAUUUGCAUUCAAAAAAUAUUGAAAUAUCAAUUUAUCUUA
rnacentral:tRNA from 1 species